CCCGAGGACCACACCGAGAGAGAGAGACGACAGAACCGGGAACAACGACCAGCCUGUCAGAGAGAAGGAGAGAACGGCUGCUAAAGUCUGCACACUCUUCAAAAUAAAGGUCCCCGGAGACGCUCACGCUGGGCCGCUGUCCGUGAUGCAUUAAUCAUGUCCGAAUCCUCAAGACAAAGAGCCACGCGUUUCUCGUCUGCAUGUGAAAUGAUGCGACGCGGGCCUGCCACGAGGUUAAACUCUCAAACGUGCUCUUUGAUGGGCUUUAAUGAGAUGUCAGCGCCCAGACGGAUUUCUCUGCUGUCCCGUAAAACAGGCCACGGAGCACGAAGCCGCAUCUCUGUGAUCUGCUCAAAAACACACCUAGAUGUGUCGCAACACUUUCACACAAUCACCGCGUCAGGAGUGUGACGUCUGUCAAGCAGGAUUUAAGUUGAGUUUAUGCAAAGAGGCACCCCAGACAGCAAGCAGUUUCGGUCCAGAUCCGGCCCACAUCCGGCCCCCCAUGGAUUUCACACAGGCCAGAUGUGGGCCGGAUCUGGGCCAACACUAUGUUGUUAUCUGAGACUAAACUGAAAGCCCUUUCAGAUCAGAACCGUGAGUCAAACCUGCUUCAUACUCAUCAACUUCU
ensembl:lncRNA